CAAAGCUAAGGAGCACAACGCCGAGGGGAGGGGAAUGUGCAGCAGCAGACCCAGUACCAAAAGCUGCUUCAAGCUGAAAACUCAUUAAUAAUAACCAGCAGCACCAAGAUUUCUUAACUCACCUUGACUGAGAACAAGAGACUCCAGAGUCA
rnacentral:lncRNA from 1 species